UGAAAAAGAACCUGAAACCGUGUACGUACAAGCAGUGGGAGCACCCUUCGGGGUGUGACUGCGUACCUUUUGUAUAAUGGGUCAGCGACUUAUAUUCUGUAGCAAGGUUAACCGUAUAGGGGAGCCGUAGGGAAACCGAGUCUUAACCGGGCGUUAAGUUGCAGGGUAUAGACCCGAAACCCGGUGAUCUAGCCAUGGGCAGGUUGAAGGUUGGGUAACACUAACUGGAGGACCGAACCGACUAAUGUUGAAAAA
rnacentral:rRNA from 1 species